AGAAGGGAGCCACUUCCUCUUUCUCUAAGGGCAUCCCCAAGGGGCGACCUGGACCCCAUCCUGGAUGGUUGGAGGGGCAGGGACAGGAUCUCUGGAAGAUUACUAAGAGUCGGUCUGCAGCAGCAUUUAUAAUAGGCAGGACCCUAUGCAUCAAGUGGUGAUGAGAAAGGAGUCCUGGACCUGAGGUCUGGCUGGGGUUCUGGUCUCAGCCAGCCACUUAUCAUUUGUGGAAUCUUGGGUGGAUCCUUAACAACUGCGCCACCAUGGAAGUCCAAGAACAUUUCUGAUAGAGAGAACAGUAAGUGCAAACGCCCUGAGGCAGAAUGAUGCCUGGUCAGAGAUCAACAAAGUUGAAGUGGCUGGAGUAGCAUGAGAAUGGGAGAGGUUAGUAUAUGAGGUACCCAGAGAGGCAGGGGGUGCAGCAUCUGGUUCCAAGCACACAGUGGAUGCUUAGCGAAAGCUUGCUGAACCAAAUUGAAAAAGCCCCAAGACUGAACUCUCCAGGAAGGAUUUCCACUGUAACUCAGCCACCUACCUCUUCCUCACUCCCUCCUUAACCAAGGAUACUAGUUCCACUGAUGAUUCCUAGGGUGCCUACCCUAGAGCUGGUGCUAUAAAGGCGAUAGCUUUCAAAUGUUCUGACCACAACCCAGCCAUAAGAAAUAUAUUUUAAGUCAGAGUCCAGUAAAAUGAAAGUUUCAUGAAACAGUACUUCCCUUACUAUAUGCAAUAUACUUCAUUUCCCUUCUUUUUUUUGGCCGUGCCGCACAGCUUGCGGGAUCUUAGUUCCCCGACCAGGAAUUGAACCUGGGCUCCAGCAGUGAUGGCGCCGAGUCCUAACCACUGGACCACGGAAUUCCCCUUCUUUUUCUUUUAAUGCUGAUCAACUUCUUAAUUGAUCUGGGGUCAGUUAACCCUGGGGCCAAACCUACAGUUUGAAAAACAUUACGUUGGGUAGUGAGGAGAAGUAUAAGUUGGGUUACUGCUCUUCCCUUACCAUAAUGAUAAUAACUGUAUAA